rnacentral:SRP_RNA from 1 species
GUGGGGGGGGCACAUGUUUGUCAUCUCUGCUACUAGGGGACACUGAGGCUAGUGGGUCACUUGAGUUGGGGAGUUCUCAACUAUGGUAGGGCCAAAGCCGAUGAGGUGCUUGUAUUAAGUCUGGCGCCAAUGUGGUGACUUCUGGAAAUAGAGGGCCAGCAGGCUGCCUAAGAAGGGACAAACCCACCCAGGCAAGAAAUGGUGCAGGUUGAAGCUCCAAGCUAAUCAAUAAUGGGGUUGGGCCUAUGAGUGGUCCUUCUAAUUUCUGCCUGGGUAAGAUAAAGAGACCUAGUCUCAA